rnacentral:misc_RNA from 1 species
UCCGAGUUGACCCCGGCAGUCUUCGAUGAGUCCCCGGCAUAACCCGCUGGCAACAUCGAACGAGGGUUGCGCUCGUUGCGGGACUUAACCCAACAUCUCACGACACGAGCUGACGACAGCCAUGCAGCACCUGUGCACAGGCCCCGAAGGGAAAGCGACUUUCAUCACCGGUCCUGCACACGUCAAACCCAGGUAAGGUUCUUCGCGUUGCGUCGAAUUAAACCACCUGCUCCACCGCUUGUGCGGGCCCCCGUCAAUUCCUUUGAGUUUCAGCCUUGCGGCCGUACUCCCCAGGCGGGGCACUUACUGCGUUAGCGACGGCACCGGGAGGGUCGCUCCCCCCGACGCCUAGUGCCCAUCGUUUACGGCGUGGACUAC